UGAGGAAUCUUGCGCAAUGGGGGAAACCCUGACGCAGCAACGCCGCGUGAGUGAGGAAGGUUUUCGAAUCGUAAAGCUCUGUCAGGUGGAAAGAAAUGUAUGGACGUUAAUAGCUGCCAUACUUGACGGUACCACCAGAGGAAGCACCGGCUAACUCCGUGCCAGCAGCCGCGGUAAUACGGGGGGUGCAAGCGUUGUUCGGAAUCAUUGGGCGUAAAGAGCGUGUAGGCGGCUUGAUAAGUCAGAUGUGAAAGCCCUGGGCUUAACCCAGGAAGUGCAUUUGAAACUGUUUGGCUUGAGUAAGGGAGAGGAAUGUGGAAUUCCUGGUGUAGAGGUGAAAUUCGUAGAUAUCAGGAGGAACACCGGUGGAGAAGGCGACUUUCUGGCCCUAUACUGACGCUGAGACGCGAAAGCGUGGGUAGCAAACA
rnacentral:rRNA from 1 species